rnacentral:rRNA from 1 species
GUCCAGACUCCUACGGGAGGCAGCAGUGGGGAAUAUUGCACAAUGGGGGAAACCCUGAUGCAGCGACGCCGCGUGAGUGAAGAAGUAUUUCGGUAUGUAAAGCUCUAUCAGCAGGGAAGAUAAUGACGGUACCUGACUAAGAAGCCCCGGCUAACUACGUGCCAGCAGCCGCGGUAAUACGUAGGGGGCAAGCGUUAUCCGGAUUUACUGGGUGUAAAGGGUGCGCAGGUGGCAGGGCAAGUCAGAUGUGAAAGCCCUGGGCUCAACCCCGGUAUUGCAUUUGAAACUGUCCGGCUAGAGUGCAGGAGAGGUAAGCGGAAUUCCUAGUGUAGCGGUGAAAUGCGUAGAUAUUAGGAGGAACACCAGUGGCGAAGGCGGCUUACUGGACUGUAACUGACACUGAGGCACGAAAGCGUGGGGAGCAAACAGGAUUAGAUACCCGUGUAGAG